rnacentral:lncRNA from 13 species
AUGGAAGCUGGAAACCUGAGUGAUGACGAGAGAGAAGGAGGCAAGGAGAAAGAGAAGAAGAAGAAGUUGAAGAAGAAGAAGGACUUUGGCUGUUCAUCAUCCUCUUCAUCAUCUUCAUCCUCGGAAAGCUCUUCCUCUUCAGACAGCGAGGAUGACAAAAAGAAGAAGAAGAAGAAGAAGAAGAAGAAAGCUGAGGAUUCCAGUUCUUCAUCCUCCUCCUCCUCGUCUUCAUCCUCCUCUUCAUCCUCUUCUGAUAGUGAGGAGGAAAAUAAGAAGAAGAAGAAGAAGAAGAAGAAGAAGGAGUCUAGUUCUUCAUCCUCUGAAAGCUUCUCCUCCUCUGACAGCGAUGAUGACAAAAAGAAAAAGAAGAAGAAGAUGAAGAAGAAGAAAAAGGAUUCCAGCUCUGAUGAUUCAGAUAGCGAGAAAGACAGGAAGAAGAAGAAGAAGAAGAAGAAGAAGAAGACAAAGGGUUCCUGCUCAUCAGACAGCGAAGGCGAUAAGAAGAAGAAGAAGAAGAAGAAGAAGAAGGGCGAUUCUGACAGCGAGGAAGACAAGAAGAAAAAGAAGAAGAAGGACAAGAAGAAAAAGAAGAAGAAGGAUGAGGACUCUGACAGCGAGGAAGACAAGAAAAAGAAGAAGAAGAAGGAGGACAAGAAGAAAAAGAAGAAGAAGGAUAAGGACUCUGACAGCGAGGAAGACAAGAAGAAAAAGAAGAAAAAGAAGAAGAAGGAUUCUGGUUCUGACAGCGAGGAAGAUAAGAAGAAGAAAGGCAAGAAGAAGGAUAAGAAGAAGGGCAAGAAGAAGGAUAAGAAGAAGAAGAAGAAAGACAAGAAGAAGAAAAAGGAUGACUCCUCAUCUGGAAGUGAUGAUGAUAAGAAAAAGAAGAAGAAGAAGAAGGAGGAGAAGAAGAAGAAGAAGAAGAAAGAAAAGGGUUCCUCUUCUGGAAGUGAUGAUGAUGAGAAGAAAAAUAAGAAAGACAAGAAGGACUCCUGUUCCGAUGUUGAGGGAGAAUCUAAGAAAAAAACAAAGAAAGAUGACAACAAGAAAGAGGAUGGACCUGAGAAUGAAAAGUGUGGAGAGAUGAAAAAGGAGGGGAAAUAUGUAGGUGGCUUGGUGAUGGGAGGAGGGUGCAUGGAUAGCAAACCAUCUGACGAGGGAUCAGCUAUUCGCCCGAAACCCACCCUGAAGUUGGAGUCUUGGGGGCCGUCGGCAGACGCCAGACCCAACACUCGCUAUGAGUCCCUUUAUAGCCCCUCGCACUCUCUCAGUCCCAGGGAGAGCAGUCCCUCCCGCCCGCCACUCAGUCCCUUGGAGGCUCUGAUGCGGAACCCAACCUGGACCAGCGACCGUGACCCAAUGACCGGGAGAGGACCAGCCAGCAGCAGAACCACACUGCUCAAAUCCAGUGAUCUGCUCAGGGGUCCUAAGCCUUAUCAGCCUUAAUUAACAUGGAGAUUGGAAAAGAUAGGCCAAGAUGAUUCAUGCUCAUUACAAUCAGGCUGAAACAUGAUCAAAAAGGAAUUCUGUCAGAAAUAAAUAAAUAAUUUCAAUAGGUACAUUUUUGUGAAUCUAUUUUCCAACUGAAGCUGGUCAACUAUUGCAAAUAAUACACUUUUAUCUCUUUGGAACCUCACACGUGAGUGACAUGCAAUUUGUUUAUCUAAAGUAAAGUGGGAAGUUUGAACAUAAUUGACGUGUAUGUGUCUGUGUGUCUGUGUACACAUUCAGGAAUUUCCAGCAGUAUUCAUGCAGGCUUAGCUGAUCAGAUGCACUAUACUAUGAAUGUAGUUUGAGGAGUUAGUGAGGUAACUUUGGUCAACUCUGAGUUCAGUUUGGGAUAACCGGUACAAUGAAAGUGGCUCACCUUUAAGCCAAUUUGGUAAAUCUGCUUCAGGGCACAGGCUAACUCAGGGCUAACUACAAUUAUCUUGAAUGAAGUGUCUGAUGUGUGAGUUGAGGACCAAUGAAAUCAGAUUAUCUCCCUCUCGCAAAUAUUAUAUAAUAUCAUCAUCCAAUUCAUUUGAGGAAGAAAACUGCUUCAAAUAUGAAUUAAAUGUGUUUUUGUGUGUUAAAAAGUUCCACAUUUAGUAAUGACAAAUGCAUUUGAUACUUCACGCAGGGUAAAACAUUUGUAUGACAAUACAAUUAUUUUAUUUUUUAAGAGUGGGAAAAAAGGUGCUGUGCAUAUCAAAGGCGUCAUUAACGAUAAGUAAUAAAAUAAAGAUGACACUUCAACAAGCCUAUUUCACACCAUAACCUGCUGAAAUUGCAAGAUAACUUUUCUUUAAUUUUGGUUUCGCCACAAAUGAAAAUAUGGCACAUGGAUUGAUGUUUCAGUAUUGUCUCAAUUAAGAGUUUGGCUUUCGACUAGCCACAUGCGACAUGAACACAGUGUUGUCAAAAGUCGCUAAAUAGCAUCAUCAUAGCAUCAUCACCUAAUUUGCAUAAUUGGCCAUGUGCAUGUAAUUGUUAUGGACGCUUUAGGAGAGAGGAAUAACGUCGCGGGAGAGACAAAAAGUGAGUAAAAAAACACCCUAAAUAUGUUUAGAACUACAAAUGAGCAAGCUGCAGAGAGUGGCACACACAGCGAAUAAGAACCAGAUAUUUAAGGCCAUACUCCUCCUCCUCCAUACUCCUGGACCCCAUUGUUAAUCGCCUUCAUAACAGAGGCAUUGUCAGUCCCUAUCCCCAGGAGUUUCUCUUUUUUUAAGACAACACUUGUCGAGGAAAGCCAAAACAGCACGGGCUGUAGAUUUGGCAUCUUCUCCCUCCAACUCAACAAGCCCCAGAAAUGUUGAUACAAUUGUCUGCUUGGUGUCACUAAAGUACCUUAUCACAACCCCCAGGUACUUAGAAACACUUACAUCCGUGGACUCAUCGAGAAGGAGGCUGAAACGCUGGUCACCCACGUCUGCGACCAACAUUUUCAGAAAGUAUGGUGCUAGAACACCAUUACUCAUUUCUGUGCACUUUGUCCUGUGCAUUUUGAAGUGGGUAGCGUCAGUGGAGUCUGAGAAAGCAGCUCUGCAUGGUUCUCCAAUAUGAUCACAUGCCAGCAUUGAACAGUGUUCAGCAAUAGCUAAUGCCAUGGUGGCCUCAGCCUUUUCUUGCAGACUACAUUUUUUUAACCAUAAAUGGCAGCUUGUUUUGGGUGGAACUGUUAUAAGGCUUUGCCUUUUGAGUAUGUUUUUGAGUUGUCAUGUGUUUGUUUACAUAUUGAAAAUUAGCUCCCUGGAUGCAAUUCUUAUGGCUUCCACAGGGUGUCAGCAGUCUUUUUUUCCAAGCUUUCAGGCUUGAAACCUUAACAAGUAAGAAAUAUCAGUUUUAGCAGAAGGGCAGUCUUGGAAAUUUGUGUUUGUGCGCGGAUGAAGACAUUACGCACCUGUUAAAAUCGGUUUCCUAUUGAACAUACUUCUUUCCAUAAGAAAUAUUAUAGUUUGAUUACAUUUCAGGGUAUCUGAGGAGUAAAUAGAAACGUCUUUUGACUUGUUGAAACAAAGUUUAGGGUUAGAGUUUCAGAUUCCUUUCUCUGCAUGUUGAAUGAGUAGAUUACUCAAAUCGAUGGCGCCAACUAAACAGAUUUUUUGGGGAUACAAAGAACUAUUUUAUCUAACAAAACGACACUACAUUUCAUAGCUGGGACCCUUUGGAUGACAACUCGGGGGAAGAUUUUUUUAAAGUAAGUGAUUAUUUAAUCGUUAUUUGUAAAUGUAUGAAACCUGUGCCGGUGGAAAAAUAUUUAGAUGUGGGGUGUCGUCCUCAAACAAUCGCAUGGCAUGUUUUCGCUGUAAUAGCUACUGUAAAUCAGACAGUGCAGUUGGAUUAACAAGAAUUUAAGCUUUCACUUAAAUGUAUAUAAAUGUUUAAAAUACAUAAUAUUUAUGAUUAUUUGAAUUGCGCGCCCUCCUUCCAUGUCGGUUAGAGAGGAUCAGCUUGAGCAAAGGGAUGUGUAGAAUCACUGAUCUACAAAGAGUAUUCCCUGCCACAUAAUAGGCUUUGCGCAAUUAAGAUUCAGAGAGCUAUGCUUCCCCUGGCUUAGGCAAUCUCCCCACCGACAUUGAUUGUCAGGACUUGGGGCCCUCAGAUCCUCAAAAGGUUUUUACAGCUGCAACAAUAAGAGCAUCUUGACUGGCUGCAUCACCGCCUGGUAUGGCAACUGCUCUAAGGCGCUACAGAGGGAAGUGCGUACAGCUCAGUACAUCACUGGGGCCUAACUCCCUGUCACUCAGGAACUCUAUACCAGGUGGUGUCAGAGGAAGGCCUUCAAAUUGUCAGACUCCAGCCUCCCAAGUCAUAGACUGUUCUCUCUGCUACCGCACAGCAAGCAGUACCAGAGUGCCUAGUCUGGGACCAAAAGGCUCCUGAAAGCCACAAGACUGCUAAACAGUUAAUCAAAUGGCUACCCGGACUAUUUACAUUGACCCACUUUUUGAGUGGUUUUUUUGCACUGACUCUCUUGCACUGGCUCUAUGCACACACACUAGAAUCUACCCACACAUUCACACAUACUAUGCUGACAUUCCCAACACACACUACAUACACUCACAGACACAAAACGCACACAUACACAGACACACUCGCUGCUGCUACUCUAUUCAUUAUCUAUCCUGAUUGCAUAGUCCCUUUUACCCCUACCUGUACAUAUUACCUCCGUUACCUCAACUAUCUCGUACCCCUGCACAUUGGCUCCUUGUAAACAGACUCGUUCGUUAUUGUUAGUUUAUUACUAUUUUCCUUUUUUUAACUUAGCAAAUUGUUUAUUUUUUCUCACUUUUUAACUCUGCAUUGUUGCCAAAGAGUUAGUAAGUAAGCAUGUCACGGUAAAGUCUACACCAAUUGUAUUUGCAUGUGACAAAUAAAAUGUGACUUGAUUGGAGACUGCUUGUGUCAAUUAAAUAACAUUUCCUAUGAUUUUCUACCUGCAGCAAAAGUAGUGGAUAAUGCCAAAAAUACCAGUUAAAGAAAAAACAAUGAAAACAACUGAUGUUCAUUUUAUAAUAAGAGCUACACCAACAUAAAUGUUUAUUCAUAGGCCGACCUGUCCGGUAAAUUGCCACAGCAAUGUGGCUUUAAUAGUAUUAGCUGGACAAUCUGGACAUCUGUUGUGUGGGGGGAAAAAAGGUAGCUGUAUAAUUAAGAACAGUACCUUGCAGGAUUCAAUAAUUGGAAUUGUAAGAGUUGUUCUCCAGUCCUUGUCUCUGCUAUUGUCAUUCUAAUAGGAUCCAGAAAGAACAAAACCCUGUCCUCGAACAUUUACAUUGAAAGUUGCAAAGUUAAAGGCAAAGACACAAAACAUCCACAUAAAAUUAAAUACUUUUCUUGAUCAAAUAACAUGGAUAACAACUUUUUGUGCAGUAUUAAUUGACUAUCCUUACAAACCACUUAAUUUCAAUCAAAUUUCAAACAAUCAAUUAAAUGUAAUUAUAAAGCCCUUUUUUUUUUACAUCAGUCAAUGUCACAAAGUGCUGUACAGAAACCCAGCCUAAAACCACAAACAGCAAGCAAUGCAGAUGUAGAAGCACGGUGGCGGUGGCUAGGAAAAAUAAGAAAUAAGUUGCGUUUGCUAAGUAUUUCAAGAAACUGUAAAACAUAUCAAGUAUUUUUUUAUUCCACAAGUAUUAUCAGAUUAACUUUUGUACAGAUAAUUAUCAGACUCAAGUUACAAAUGCUGGUAAACACUCAAAUACAAAUACAUUUAGUUUAAAUGUUUUCACAAAAGUAGUGCACCGGAUCUUUACGGGUCUUGUUUUAGCAGACAUCUUCAGCGUGGGCAAUAUUUUUCCUCUUCUGCAUGUUGCAGCCAAACGCUACCCUACCUUGGCACACUGACGUCACAUCAUUGUGCAAAAGCCGGAAGGGAAGAGCGCCCUUCUCAUAUCAAACAAUGAUCUGCGCCACUCGGUCAUGCUGCCAAUAUGGCAGCAGGGUCCAUCGUCCACAAACAUACAUCUCUUUUCCAUAAAAAAGCUGGUUCAUGCCCGAGAGGCAGGCCCGUUCCCAAAACGAAUGCAAUCACGUUUCACCCGGUGUAACCCGGGCCAGAUAAACGACCCCCAGCGGAAUAAUUUGGUUUGAACCGUCAGACUAAAGGACAAAGACUCCACAAGGUCUAUUCCACACUGGCCCAACCAGGGGCACUUUCAAAACCGUAAAAAACGGGGAAGAAACAUUAACAUUCUUAUUGGACAAAAUCAGAUAGUCCCGCAUCCAUUUUAAAACCCCUGUGCUGUUUUGUGCCUUCUGAACAACACGAACGUGUUUUGGUCACGUGGUUGCGGGGUGGGGUCAACAGGUAGGUGCGUAGCGUGAGUUUUUCCGUUUAAAGGGCAAAGUUGUUCCUGCAAGUUGUCACUGCUAUUGUGUGCACCCAAGACAACAUGGAUUUCGAUUUGGCUUCAG